rnacentral:rRNA from 1 species
UACGUAGGGUGCAAGCGUUAUCCGGAAUUACUGGGCGUAAAGAGCUCGUAGGUGGUUUGUCGCGUUGUUCGUGAAAACUCACAGCUUAACUGUGGGCGUGCGGGCGAUACGGGCAGACUUGGGUACUGCAGGGGAGACUGGAAUUCCUGGUGUAGCGGUGGAAUGCGCAGAUAUCAGGAGGAACACCGGUGGCGAAGGCGGUUCUCUGGGCCUGUACUGACGCUGAGGAGCGAAAGCGUGGGGAGCGAACAGG